rnacentral:lncRNA from 1 species
GAGAAAGAAGCCAAGGACCUGUGUUCUACAGAGGUCCUGACAAAUGUUCAAUGUACAGUAUGUAGAUGAUGUGAGGAAUUUUCCCCCGAAUUGAUGUGAGAUGCAGGAACUAAGGAGUAGUACUUCAUAGCACCAAUUAUCUGCACUGUGUGGUAAUUUGAUCAAAUAUGCUUUUCAACAUAAUACAGUAAGUAGCAUAAGAACUCUGAAUGUUAUAUCAGAUAAACUUCCUGUAUAGAUGUAGUUAAGGACUUCAAUUUAUAUGUAAGGAAAUGGGUAUGGGUGACUUCAAUUGCAGUUUAAUGCAUUUGUAUUUUUUUUUAAAUUUGUUUUUUGAGUGAAUGUGUAUACAUUUGUUUGUGCAAGUGUGUGUAUGUCUGUGGGUUAAAGCCACUCUGCUAACCUAGGUUUCUUCCUCAAUAAUUCCCAUCUUUGUAUUUCCAGACAAGUUCAUUCACUGAACCUGAAGCUCCAUGAUUUUGCUAGAUUUAACUGGGGAGCAAUCACUAACAGAAUUCCGUGUCACUCUGAAUAGCACUCGAACUUCAGGCAUUGGAUUCCAGGCCUUGGACACAGUAGGAAUCUGCUGUAUCAAUGAAGGAUGUGUCCAGUCAUUGGCUUCCUGAGACAUAGUCUGAUUAUGUCAUUCAAACUACCCUACAUCUCAUGGUCUGUUUGCCUGUGACUUCCAAGUAAUAAGAUCACAGGUGUGC